rnacentral:lncRNA from 1 species
CUCUCUCUCUCUCUCUCUCUCUCUCUCCUUACAUGUCUAAAAUGGUGAUGCCUCUUGUGACCUUCUGUCUGCGAACAAUGUCCGAUUCGGAUGUGAUGAGGAUGGCGGUGGCAUUAUCCAGGUGGUGGACGACUCUCUGCUUUUUGUUCCCUUGCUUUACAUGUACAUGGGGCUCUCUUUCUUGGCUUUUAGUAUUUUGCCAUUAUUACGAGUCUUCUUUCAUUUAGCACUAACAAUAUGAAGUCGAAUAUUUCACAUCAAUUUUGAAAUCAAAAAGAGAAAUCAAGUCAUUAAUAAUCAAGAAAUAAAUCAAAAUUUUGGUAAGAAAAAAAUACUAAAUACAAAGAAUAAUUUUCUCUUUUGUUAACUUAAAUUCAUUCUCGAAAUCUUCUUAUACACCUCAUAUAAGCAUACAAAACUCUUAUCUCGGUCUUUUCUAAAUUCACUAAAAAAACCUCUAAUUUUUUUUUUAAUGAUUGAGUUCUUGAUUUUAGUCCUCCAAGUAAUUUGAAUUUAAUUAUGAUGCUUAAAAUAUUUAUCAAUCCUAAUAAAUCCUAAAUUUACUAAGAUAUAAUCUAUGUUAUCCAUAAAAAAUAUUCUCCUAACAAAUCAAAUAAGGAAAACCAUUCCUAAAAAUAUAGUUAAAUUAAAAUAAAAUAUUACCCAAACACUCUCUCGCUCAUUGAUUAAAAUACUCAUUUUCUCUAAUUUAAAUGUCGAUAUUCUCUUUUCAAGCCUUGAGUUAGCAUGCCUUAGCUAAUCACUUUGCAUCGAUCUUUCCUUCUAGAGCUUGAUAAUAUAUAUUUUAAUGAGCAAAUUGAAUUGAUGAACGAAUUUGACAUAGACCAACCAUGACGUUGUGCAUGCAUCUUUUUACGGGAUAACGAAGCCAACGCAUCCUCCAUUAUAAUAAUAAUAAUUAUUAUUAUCAUCAUCCAGCGAUGUCAUAAGUGUCGUGCAUUGGUACGAAGCUUCCCUUCCUUAGGGCAGACCACUAAGUACGGAAUGUUUAGAGGAAUAUUCCAAUCAUUAGCUUGCACAGGAUUAAACCAAACGUGUAACGUGAUUAGCCGCUGGAUUUUGUUGGAGAUAAUGAUAUUUAUGAAGUGGACGGCUAAGAUUUCGGCUAAGUCGUUGAUCUUUGAUCACAGUUGAUCCUGAUCUCCCACGCCAAAAGUCAAUGCAGCUCUAAUUACAAUGCAGUUAAACACGCUAUUAGGAUUGUGCAGCAUCAUUUUGAUGUUGAUGUGUGUGGUCAUAUCAUUAUAUGGAAUUCUGAACUACUUGAGCUUAGUAUAGCAAGAACAGUUUAUAUAUAUUUUCUCCUAAUCAACUAUUAUCUUCGUGAUAGUGUAUUCUAAAUUUACCUUAUGGGAGGAUUUAAAAUAUAAUUCUUAUCCUAAAUUUAGAUAUAGAUAAUCACUUUAGUAUAGUCACAGUACCAAAUUCUAAGAUAAAAUUUUGACAGGGAGAGUAUACGUUUAAUUUUAGCUAUAUUAUAGUAUAAAUAGAUGUCUCUCCAAAUGCAAUUUAUGUAUACUUAAUAUUUUACAUUAACCUUGAAUGUCUACUAACUUCGAGUAUAAAGAGGUCUCAUUCUAUUGAUUCGAGACUCUAACCAAUUUGACUGCAACCCUCCCUAAGAUCUGGUCAAAGUGAUCGUCUCAGGAUUAUUAGUGUUUCAUUUUUCUUCUUUCUUUUGCUCGAAUCAUCUACAUGCGAUCACAUAAGAUGGCAUUAAUUCGCAUAAAUAAAAGAUAAAAGUAAACGGACUUCAGCUGGUUGAUGUUGGAGAGAGAGACAAGAACUGGAUAAUCUCAAGGAGACCUGAUGACAAGAGUUUGACAAACGCCCCCAAUCCAGCUGAGAUUAACGUCUAAGAAACGUGGGUGUUUUGCAGAGACGACCGCGGCGAUUCGAUGAGUGCGUGCGCUCUUCAGAAUCCUUUUCCUUCCUCCGUUUUCCUUCGA